rnacentral:rRNA from 1 species
AGAAUCAACGCUGGCGGCGUGCCUAACACAUGCAAGUCGCACGAGAAAGGGGAGCAAUCCCUGAGUAAAGUGGCGCACGGGUGAGUAACACGUGAAUAAUCUACCUCCGAGUGGGGAAUAACUGAGAGAAAUCUUAGCUAAUACCGCAUAACACUUACGAGUCAAAGCAGCAAUGCGCUUGGAGAGGAGUUCGCGGCCGAUUAGUUAGUUGGCGGGGUAAUGGCCCACCAAGACUGUGAUCGGUA